UCAAACUUGGUCAUUUAGAGGAAGUAAAAGUCGUAACAAGGUUUCCGUAGGUGAACCUGCGGAAGGAUCAUUACCGAUUUGAGUGAGCCUGAUCUUUUUGAUCAUGGUCUUGCUAAAUUUUUGUAUUUAAAACCCCACUCUUGUAAUUAAUAAAAGUUUUGUUGUAUUAUGAUAAAAAUAAAGAUCACUUUCAACAACGGAUCUCUUGGCUCUCAGAGACAGUCAAACUUGGUCAUUUAGAGGAAGUAAAAGUCGUAACAAGGUUUCCGUAGGUGAACCUGCGGAAGGAUCAUUACCGAUUUGAGUGAGCCUGAUCUUUUUGAUCAUGGUCUUGCUAAAUUUUUGUAUUUAAAACCCCACUCUUGUAAUUAAUAAAAGUUUUGUUGUAUUAUGAUAAAAAUAAAGAUCACUUUCAACAACGGAUCUCUUGGCUCUCGCAUCGAUGAAGAACGCAGC
rnacentral:misc_RNA from 1 species